UACGUAGGGGGCUAGCGUUAUCCGGAUUUACUGGGCGUAAAGGGAGCGUAGGCGGACUUUUAAGUGAGAUGUGAAAUACUCGGGCUCAACUUGAGUGCUGCAUUUCAAACUGGAAGUCUAGAGUGCAGGAGAGGAGAAUGGAAUUCCUAGUGUAGCGGUGAAAUGCGUAGAGAUUAGGAAGAACACCAGUGGCGAAGGCGAUUCUCUGGACUGUAACUGACGCUGAGGCUCGAAAGCGUGGGGAGCAAACAGG
rnacentral:rRNA from 1 species